ACGUAUCGUGUCCCUUGCUGCGUAAACCUUCAGGUCGCCGACGGGCUUUGAUCUGCCUGAAAGUUUGAAUGUUAAAAAAAAAGGUGCACCCUGCUUGUUAGGGUGAGUGGGGGCUAGUCCUCAAAAAUUAAAUCCUCCUUUUUUUCCCCCCUCUCUCAAUUUGAAGAUAAGACCGGGUGGAAGUUUCCCGUCUUCCACUGAAGUAUGAAGACCAAAAACAAACCCACGAAGCACAGGACUUCAGUGGACAAAGAGACGCUUCAUGGCGAGCCAACACCCAGCAAGCAGGAACUGACAAAACGUUUGAGAAACAGGGACAGGAGGAAGGGGGAGAAAGCAGGAGAUGGCAGCAAGUUAGUCACCUCCAGAAAAAAGCCCUCCCCAAGCAGGCGGGAGUCCAGCAACCUGAGGAGGCUGGAGAGCAAUGAGAGGGAACGCCAGCGGAUGCACAAGCUCAACAACGCCUUCCAGGCCUUGAGGGAGGUCAUACCCCACGUCCGGACAGAGAAGAAACUCUCCAAGAUCGAGACACUCACCCUGGCCAAGAACUACAUCAAAUCGUUGACCUCCACCAUCCUGAAUAUGUCCAACGGCUGCCUGCCUCGUCUGGAAGGGGAAGGUGCGGCCGCCCACGAGUCCAAGUUCUACCAGCACUACCAACAGCAACGAGGCGAGGAGGAGAGCGACGGACACCUAAAGAAAUACUCCACGCAGAUCCACAGCUUCCGAGAAGGUUUCCCUGCCCGCCUCCCAGCUUCCCACACCCAAGUGGCGAAAGCGUUCUCUGAUCCCCCGCGGCCCGUUCCUGGAAAACACGGAGCAGAUCCCAGCCAGGCCCUGGAGCAGCCUGACCCUCUUGCUCGAUCCCAGCCGUCAGAGAGCGUUUGUCCCAACUCGGCUGAGGGAGCGCGAUGCCACGUGGCCGCUGGCCGAGAAUGCCUUCCCCAGGCCCCGCAGCUGCUCACUGACUGAGGCGUGGGGAGCGAGGGACUCUCAGAAGCACGCAAUGGUGCCAGGUCUUACCGUUACACCUUUUUUUAACGGGGAUUUCUAAUUGAUACUUGUUUGAGAGAGUGUGUGUGUGUGUGUGUGUGUGUGUACACUCAUGUAUGCGUGCACAUGCGCCCACAAGACAAAAUGACAGGAAAGUGUUUAUUUUUAAAACGUUACCGCAAUAGCCUACCUACCCUUCAUUAUGUAGCAUUUCAGGCUUUAGUGAACAAUGAAAGUUAAUUGCAGCUUGGGGACCGUAGGGUGAAAACCAAAAUUGGGUGCCCCGGAAAUGAAGCGGGGAGAAGUCUGUUGCUCGGGUGGUUAGAGCUUUUUGUUCCCUUCCUUUUUAAGGUUUUCUCAGACAUCGGCGAUGUCUUUCACCAAUCGCUGUGCUUUGGCUAGAGAGCAGAAGGCUGUGUUUAAAAACUGCUGUGCCUUAUGGAAUCUCCAAACCUCUUGAAAUUCAGUGGUCCUGGACACCCCUGAAUGGGGUAAGGUGUGUGCUGGGGGGAAUGCGGGGCAGGAGGGGAAUGUCGGUUUCAUUUUCCACAUGUAUGUAUAUUUGGUAGCUGCAGCCAAGACCAUUCCCACUCCUGUCCUAGGCUCCAGGGAAAGGUCACUGCUGCAUGAAUACAACACCUGGGGCCUUACCUGGAAAACACUUCAGGAGUUGCCAGAAAUGCUGAAAGCUACUUGCAGAUGUCCAGUAUGGGGGUGGUCUUGUUUUGGAAGUGGAUUAGCUCUCGGAUGAAUAUUAUCUGCAGCUGCAACAAAGACUAGCAUGAGGGGUUUAUUUCCUACUAGGAUCUGAUCUUUGUGCCCAGUGGCACUCUGCCUUCUUGGCAGUGUGACCAAUGUAGAACACAUCUUUUAAAAUGCAGAUCAAAAGUUUAAUUUCUGGGAUUUAGAGGAAACUUGGGGCACUGGAUUUUUAAUCCUAAACCCGCUUCUUUUGGAGGCUUGGGACACAGUGUCUAUGUUGCACCAACACUGGCAAUGAAAUGGCACUUACAUAAAGCCAUUUUCAUAAACUCCAAAGUCUGGAUGUGCAGGGGAUUGGUUAGGAGAAGUGUCUGGUGCCCUGAUUCCUCUCAUUAAUUUAUGCCAUGUUUGCCUUAAGAAUCAUUAUGCAGGAUCAUAGGUCUGGGAACGCUGAAAAGCAAGGGCAGUAGCAGGAAUCUCGAUGUGUGACUAACCCUUUGGAGUUCAGAUUUGAUCCUUCUGAUUAAACAUUGGCCCGACUGCUCCUCCAGCUUUUCUCCUAUAGGAUGAAGGUGCCAAAAGGUUAAAUCUGCAGGUGUUUACUCCUUUAACCAUUUGGUCGAAUUACGUAAGGUUAAAUCUGCAGGUGUUUACUCCUUUAACCAUUUGGUCUAAUUAUGUAUUUAUGCAGCACUGAGGGCUAUGAGUGUGAGGUUCUUUGCUCGUCUACGUUGGGAUUUCCGUGCCUGUAGCUAGCCUGUGGCUUUAGGUUGUAAACUGCUAUGCGGAAGACUGGGUUCUUUUGACAUCACCCAUUACCUUCAUGGGCAACAUUUUAUGAGUUUUUCAUAGCUCAUUCAUUGGGAAAUUGGAGCCACACCGGAAUUUGGAAUGAGAAAGUCAGUAGCUCUUGGGUGAUUGUGUAUUCAAAUGUGCUAUCAGGGCCUUACACUGCAUUAUGACUUGAUUAAGAUGAGGGUGGUGGUUUUCUAGGGGCUAGAACUGAAAAUAUGGGACAAGAGCCCUACCCAUGUUCUCUGUCCCCAUCCCUGCAACCACCACAGGAACAGCUUCUGCUCACUCUGUAGUCCCAGUUGUUGUGCUCGCUGCACUCUGAUUUUCCACACAGGAUGAAGAAAUUAUUUUUCUGCCUCCAUGUGAUCUGAGUAUGCUGGCAAGCUGAAGACCUUCAAUCUGGAUUAAGUGAAACCUGAUCCUGCUGCAGAACAAAACUUUGAAUCCUGCCACUCUGGCAGAAGUUUGAAGCAUAUGGACAAUAAGAAGGAACCAACUUAAAUACAAUGAGGAGUUCCCUUUCGGACAUAAUAAAUUUGAUUGCUCACUUGAA